GUAUAGGUUUAAUGACUGCGACUAGCACAAUCUUUAAAAGACAUUCUGUAACUUUAUAGUGUAUAUGAAAACAUAGCCUUGAAGAAGAGCAAGCAGGGGAAGACCGGGUUAAGGGUCAGACCCCCAAACCGCAUUGCUGCGAAAGGGUUCGCUCUCUUCAAAGACUACAAAAGGUGCACAAGAGAAGAUAAAUAGACUGGACGAGCACAUGCCCAGUAAAGGGCCAGCAUCAGAACCAGAUCGUAUUCAAUAAUGAUCCUUCCGCAGGUUCACCUACGGAAA
rnacentral:misc_RNA from 1 species